GGCCGUUUAGUAUAGUGGUUAUUAUGUCUCCUUUACAGUCUAACCUGCUGGCGGAGAAGGUCGCAUGUUCGAGCCAUGCAACGGUCA